rnacentral:rRNA from 1 species
AGAGUUUGAUCCUGGCUCAGAUUGAACGCUGGCGGCAUGCCUUACACAUGCAAGUCGAACGGCAGCACGGGGGCAACCCUGGUGGCGAGUGGCGAACGGGUGAGUAAUAUAUCGGAACGUACCCUGGAGUGGGGGAUAACGUAGCGAAAGUUACGCUAAUACCGCAUACGAUCUAAGGAUGAAAGUGGGGGGAUCGCAAGACCUCAUGCUCCUGGAGCGGCCGAUAUCUGAUUAGCUAGUUGGUGGGGUAAAGGCCUACCAAGGCAUCGAUCAGUAGCUGGUCUGAGAGGACGACCAGCCACACUGGGACUGAGACACGGCCCAGACUCCUACGGGAGGCAGCAGUGGGAAUUUUGGACAAUGGGGGCAACCCUGAUCCAGCAAUGCCGCGUGAGUGAAGAAGGCCCUAGGGUUGUAAAGUCCUUUCGUUGGGGAAGAUAAUGACGGUACCCAAAGAAGAAGCCCCGGCUAACUUCGUG